AUAUUUAUCAUAUUUUUAACACACCCUGACCCAAAUAUACAGAUAUAUAGCCGGAAAUACCUAAUUAAAUCACAAGUAUCAUACUUAAAAUAACUUCGCCGAUUGUCAGCGCUGGUAUAAAAAGAGCAUCUUAAAAUUUGCAAUUGCAAAGUUUGGUUGCGAAGGGUCGUAAAAUGAGGAAAACAUAUAGCCUUGCAAACCCGGUUUGCAAAUUUCCCUCUAUA